CCCUCCUCCGCUCCAAAACCAUCUCCCCGGUGUGCCGAUCUCCCCGGCAUGCCCCUACCCCCCUCCUCCGCUCCAAAACCACCCUCCCCUCCUCUGCUCCAAAAUCCUACACCGAUCCAUCUCCCCGACGUGCCCCCUUCCCCCUUCCUCCACUCCAAAAUCCCGAUCAAUCUCCCCAACAUGCCCCUGCCCCCCCUCCUCCGCUCCAAAACUCUAGUUGGUGCCCCGACGUGCCCCUCCCUAUGGCGUGCCCCCCGAUCUCCCCGGCGGUGGUUUGGCCUCACCUCUUUGAUGCAAAAGACAUCAGGAAGUGGGAUCUCUCCCUCCGCGUUCGUCGGACUCCUCCAUCAUCGAUCAGGAUGGCUUCAAAGAAGACACGUGGUGUAUCCAUGUUAGAUAGAUUAUAGACUUAUUCAUCAUCUCAGUCCAAUCAUGAUGAGUCACAGCAACAAUCACUUUCAGCAUAUAAUACUCAGCCACAUAGACAGCGAUCAAAGACCACAUUAUCUCAGCCACAGUCAUCAAAUGUUGUAGGAUAACACAGCUGCCCCUAGUGAAUAUAGAGAAAAUUGUUUUAAGGUUGGUUGGUGAGAUGUGGAAGAAUUAGAAGUCUUAUAUCAAGCGUCAAUACUAUGAUAAGCACCAGAGGGAAGAAAAUCUUAUCUUUUAACGUCCUCCGCAUGUGAAAGCUGAUCAGUGGAAGGUACUUAUUCAUUAUUGGGGACAAGAAGAUAUCCAGACAUUGUGUGCACGAAACAAAAAUAAUAGGAAGAUGUUGGGAGACUUGCAUAAGACAGGGAGAAUUUCAUUUUCUGUUAUUAGAGCAAAUGUAUAUUUAGAAUAUUAUAAGUUUAUAUUAAAUAUAACUCUAGUGUAAAUUCUUAUAUAUAUCUGGAUUAUUUAUGUUAAUAGAUGGAAGCAGAGGGAUUAGAAACAGAUCGACUAAGCAUGUUUAUUAAAACACGUACUUCAAAGCAGGAUGUCAUUGAUGCGGAUGCACAAGAAUGUAUUGAGGAGAUGAAACAAUGACUUGAAGAGGUAUCUGAGGACGAGCGCACACCAGAACUAAAAGAUCGUAUCUUUGUGGAGGUGAUGGGGGAAGAUGAACAUAGACGGAUGCGUACUUGGAGUUCGAGCAUGACAAAGCGACGUUUGCAUGAGCAAUCUUUUCAGACACCAUCAGAGGAAAUCAUUCGGGAUAAGCUUCGGACUGAGUUUGAUGACAAGAUUUUCUACUUGGAGGCACAGCUCCAUCAGAUGCAUGCUCAGAUGGCGAGUGGAUGUUUUGCGCACAGCUCAGUAGGUACUCCUCGUUCGGUGCCAUCCAGUAGUGGGCAUGUAUGAUUUAUUUAUUUAGUUAGAUUUAUAUUGUACAUUAAUUAGUUGUUAUUUA